CAGAUCCUGCUCUCCCUUCCAAGCAUCCACUUCGAACUGGACUGGCUCUCUGCGCUGAACAGAAUAAAUCACUCUGCCUUGAAAAGUUUCCAGUCUGCGAGCCAAAUCCUGCAGUGUAAAUCUGCAACAGCAGGAGGCAAUUCGGUGCAGCAGAACAGGGAGCCAACCUCAGCCACUCUGCAGCCUCUUGGUGCUCUCCAGAGACCCUGUGGAUUGCACAAGGACCCAGACCCACGGCAUGGUUCAGUUCAUCACUGUAAUGCAGCAAGGCUUGGAGAACAGGAGCGCGUCCCGUGGCCUCAAGAGCAAGUUCUUAACUCUUACACUGUGGGGAGAACCUAGAAAGCAUCGCUUUGUGCCUGUGGCACAGCAGUGGUCUUUCUCUGAGUCUUUACUUCUCUUUGUUCUUGCAAAGGCACUGACAUGUUUAUCUAACGUAUUAGCUCCUUACCUCAUGCGCUGCCACCAGCCAGCCCUUUCAGCAAGCUGAGGAGUUUCCAAGUUACCCAUGGCCAUUGAAGACUGUCAGAGGUGGAGAGGAAAAAGGGCCACUGGGGGUUGAAGGAGGGGUAGAGCACCCCAGGACCUGGGCCAGCAGAGCCUCUUUUGGGCUGUCACCCAGGAGGAUUUCUCUUUAGAAACAGUUCUCCCUAGGUCAGAGAGAGCUUUGACCACCCUGUCUGUGGGAGUGACUGGCAGGUGACAGGGAACAUGGUACAGUCAGGGGAAAGAAAGGGGCUCAGUGCAAGUCAGUGUCCAGAGCUUUAAUGCACAGCUCUCCUGAGCAAGACCACAUACAUCAAUAAAUAAAAUUAAUAAUAAUUACUAGAGCAGCCCCAACAAA